AUGGCAGCAUUUGUUUUAGGGAUUUUACUCAAAUAUAAAGAUCUGAAAUGUCUGCAGACUGGUGUGAGCACUGAGGAUGAGGAGCCUAGAGCUGCAUCCUGGAAGUGGUGCCAUGGAUGAGACGCUCCAUCUGUCCACCUGCCCUUACAAGACCCUCUAUCUCUCCACCUGCCCUUAUUGCCUCAGAUUGUGAAGCGCAGCGCAGCAACAAGCUCCGGGACGAAGGCACAGUCCCCUCUGGUGAAUUCAUCAGAAUAAAGCCGCAGAAUGGGAACCGCUGUGUUGAGUCGGCAGUAGGUUAUGGUGUUCAGCCCUGUAAAUACAUGUUUGUAGUUUGAAUAAAGCUUUGUUUCAUGUGUUGUUGACUUGUA